AUUGAACGUUGGCGGCAGGCUUAACACAUGCAAGUCGAACGGUAACAGGAAGAAGCUUGCUUCUUUGCUGACGAGUGGCGGACGGGUGAGUAAUGUCUGGGAAACUGCCUGAUGGAGGGGGAUAACUACUGGAAACGGUAGCUAAUACCGCAUAACGUCGCAAGACCAAAGAGGGGGACCUUCGGGCCUCUUGCCAUCGGAUGUGCCCAGAUGGGAUUAGCUAGUAGGUGGGGUAACGGCUCACCUAGGCGACGAUCCCUAGCUGGUCUGAGAGGAUGACCAGCCCCACUGGAACUGAGACACGGUCCAGACUCCUACGGGAGGCAGCAGUGGGGAAUAUUGCACAAUGGGCGCAAGCCUGAUGCAGCCAUGCCGCGUGUAUGAAGAAGGCCUUCGGGUUGUAAAGUACUUUCAGCGGGGAGGAAGGGAGUAAAGUUAAUACCUUUGCUCAUUGACGUUACCCGCAGAAGAAGCACCGGCUAACUCCGUG
rnacentral:rRNA from 1 species